rnacentral:misc_RNA from 1 species
GAGAGAGAGAGAGAGAGGGAGAUAGUUAGAGAGAGAUUCUCACCAGUAAAUGGACCAAAUGUUAGGUCACAAUCUCUAAUGGGAAAGGAUUCUCCUUCAUCUUCAUAAACCUUCUAAUCCUGAUACAAAUCCAACCAUUAGAUUGUCAGAAAUAAAAUCCUGAUGGAUUGAUGAAAAGAUCAGUCAUCACCUUGCACAUUUAAUUCCCAACAGUAGCAAAAGCGGUUUCAUUUGAUCCUCAAAACUACAAAACCUUAACUCUUACCACAGCCUUCCCUCAAAACAGAGAUUCACAUGCAACUCAGACAGCAACUGGUGCAACUGUAAGUAGGUUAUUAGAAAAUUUUCAUAUCAAUGAAUAACUUUCUCUCUACAAACAUACAACCCUCCUCAUGUUAAUGUAAACAUCAUCUAAAUGCAUAGAUUUAUGACUAAAAGAAAAACCUUUAUGAAUUAUGGAGGCAAUUACACAAAAAAAAUGAAAGAACAUGAAAAGAGCAUUCGCAUAUGAUACACUAAUAUAAGAUAUAAACCUGUCAUUGCUACCCUCUAUGCUCUCCACACAGAAGGAAGCCUCCACUUUUUAUGCCAGUAAAUUGAUAUUCUUGACCAUACUGGGAAUCCAAAAUUAAACUCAAGUGGUCGGUCAGCAGGUCCUCCAACUAUCAAAGGUAACCACACGUAUCUUGAGUCCCUCAAGUCAGCUGGAUUCCACCGAUCGGCCAUGAAAAUAAAUGAACCUGGAAGUCCUUCCAAAGGAAUUACAAAUGUGCUUUGCGCAAAAAAUGUUGUAAGCCGAAACAUCUUGUUGCCUCCAAUGCAUGGAUUUCCCAUAGUUUCCCAUGGACCCAUGACUGAUUCAGCUGCAUGGGCCAGAGCCUCAUUUGGGGCCCAGCCAGUGCACCCUGAUGUGAUCAUGUAGUAAGUCCCCUGAUGCUUAAAUAGUGCUGGAGCCUCCCUGUGUUGCCCAACAAGAAUCCUUCUCACAACGUGUGUGACAUCAAGAUAAUCUUCUGUAAGAGGUCCAAUGUGAAGCUCACUGUUAUCCUCAGAGGAGUAUAUAAGAUAUGCCACACCAUCAUCAUCUUUAAAGAUAGUCAUAUCUCUGCUUUCAAAUCCAUGAGGCCUUUUGCUAUAGAGGUAAUCAAAAGGACCAGUCGGGGAAUCACUAAUGGCAAUACCAACAGCAGCUUUGGUGUAGUUGGCAUCAUCAAUAUGCAUCCACAUCACAUACUUCCCUGUCCUGUCAUUGUAAAUCACUUUUGGCCUCUCGAGCACGUUAGAUUUGUGGAGAGCAUGGGUUUCAUUUGUCUCUUCUGCUGCCAAUACAAUCCCCUCAUUUUUCCAUGUCCAAAGGUCUUUGGAGGAAUAGCAACCAACUCCAAUGAUGUCAACCAUUUGCAGGCUGAAUCAAUGUGGAUCUGAUUGUCACUUAUGACUUUACAAGCUUCACAUAGGAUAUGCAUUCUUAAACAUACUCAUCAACAGCAUUGCAGCUUGGGUAGUCAAGCAUCACUCUUAUGGUCAUAGGUUCUGUAACUAAAAUGAUUCUCUCCAAUAUAAGCUCACCAUUGCACUCCAUUCUUGGCCCAUAUAAUUUGCCUGAAGCUAUCCAAUCAGAAUUGUACUUGGAUAAGAAUAGGCCAACCAAAUUUGGGAUAAUACAUAGAAGAUAACCUUCUUAACUACCUGACAGUGAUCCCUUUUCAUCAAUGUAAACCUUGCCUUGCCCGACUACUGGCACAGGAUUGCUAAAUCCUGCCAUAAGAGCACAAAAACUUCAUCCAAAAAGCCAAGCUGAUACCAAAUGUCAUAUUCAAGUAGUAGAUCAAUUUAGGAUCAUAUGGCUCUCCCAAAAGCUCCACAGCCUGACCUCCACUUGGACCUUGGUCGCCAAGAGUGAUCAUCAAUAGAGCUAG